rnacentral:rRNA from 1 species
UACGAAGGGGGCUAGCGUUGCUCGGAAUUACUGGGCGUAAAGCGCACGUAGGCGGAUCUUUAAGUCAGGGGUGAAAUCCUGGAGCUCAACUCCAGAACUGCCUUUGAUACUGAGGACCUUGAGUCCGGGAGAGGUGAGUGGAACUGCGAGUGUAGAGGUGAAAUUCGUAGAUAUUCGCAAAGAACACCAGUGGCGAAGGCGGCUCACUGGCCCGGUACUGACGCUGAGGUGCGAAAGCG